AUGCCAGACUCCUACGGGAGGCAGCAGUGGGGAAUAUUGCACAAUGGGGGGAACCCUGAUGCAGCGACGCCGCGUGGGUGAAGGAGAACCUCGGUGCGUAAAGCCCUAUCGGCAGGGAAGAAACAGACGGUACCUGACUAAGAAGCCCCGGCUAACUACGUGUCAGCAGCCGCGGUAAUACGUAGGGGGCAAGCGUUAUCCGGAUUUACUGGGUGUAAAGGGGGCGCAGACGGCGAUGCAAGCCAGGAGUGAAAGCCCGGGGCCCAACCCCGGGACUGCUCUUGGAACUGCGUGGCUGGAGUGCAGGAGGGGCAGGCGGAAUUCCUGGUGUAGCGGUGAAAUGCGUAGAUAUCAGGAGGAACACCGGUGGCGAAGGCGGCCUGCUGGACUGCAACUGACGUUGAGGCCCGAAAGCGUGGGGAGCAAACAGGAUUAGAUACCCUCGUAC
rnacentral:rRNA from 1 species